UACGAAGGGGGCUAGCGUUGUUCGGAAUUACUGGGCGUAAAGCGCACGUAGGCGGAUUAGUAAGUCAGGGGUGAAAUCCCGGGGCUCAACCUCGGAACUGCCUUUGAUACUGCUGAUCUCGAGUCCGGAAGAGGUGAGUGGAAUUACUAGUGUAGAGGUGAAAUUCGUAGAUAUUAGGAAGAACACCAGUUGCGAAGGCGGCUCGCUGGUCCGGUACUGACGCUGAGGUGCGAAAGCGUGGGGAGCAUACAGG
rnacentral:rRNA from 1 species